GACGAACGCUGGCGGCGUGCCUAAUACAUGCAAGUCGAACGCAGUGGGGACGGGUGAGUAACACGUGGGUAACCUCCCAUCAGAGGGGAUAACACUUGGAAACAGGUGCUAAACCGAUACUGAUGGAUGGACCCGCGGGGCAUUAGCUAGUUGGUGAGGUAGCGGCUCACCAGGGCCACGAUGCAUAGCCGGGCUAAGGGGGUGAGCGGCCACACUGGGACUGAGGCACGGCCCAGACUCCGACGGGAGGCAGCAGUAGGGAAUAUUCGGCAAUGGACGAAAGUCUGAACGAGCAAUGCCGCGUGAGUGAAGAAGGUUUUCGGGUCGUAAAACUCUGUUGUUAGAGAAGCGGUAUCUAAACAGAAAGCCCCGGCUAACUACGUGCCAGCAGCCGCGGUAAUAC
rnacentral:rRNA from 1 species